rnacentral:rRNA from 1 species
GAUGAACGCUGGCGGCGUGCCUAAUACAUGCAAGUCGAGCGAACAGACGAGGAGCUUGCUCCUCUGACGUUAGCGGCGGACGGGUGAGUAACACGUGGAUAACCUACCUAUAAGACUGGGAUAACUUCGGGAAACCGGAGCUAAUACCGGAUAAUAUAUUGAACCGCAUGGUUCAAUAGUGAAAGACGGUUUUGCUGUCACUUAUAGAUGGAUCCGCGCCGCAUUAGCUAGUUGGUAAGGUAACGGCUUACCAAGGCAACGAUGCGUAGCCGACCUGAGAGAGUGAUCGGCCACGCUGGAACUGAGACACGGUCCAGACUCCUACGGGAGGCAGCAGUAGGGAAUCUUCCGCAAUGGGCGAAAGCCUGACGGAGCAACGCCGCGUGAGUGAUAAAGGUCUUCGGAUCGUAAAACUCUGUUAUUAGGGAAGAACAAAUGUGUAAGUAACUAUGCACGUCUUGACGGUACCUAAUCAGAAAGCCACGGCUAACUACGUG